UAUUCUUGAUCUGAUGCACCUGAAGGACGGACUUCCACUAUUUAAGUGAGGGCUGGGUGAGGAAGGAGCACGAGACCACGCAUCUGCUCUUGUCUGGAAUAGGACUUAUGUAACACAGAGUUGGAGGAGGCGUUGUACCAGUGCCCUGCCCUGCCAGGGGUGAUGGUGUAACUCUGGGGAAAAAUAUUCCUGUGUUCUUGGCUGCAGCUCCCUGGAGUGGAGCUGACAUGAUGAGCUGGAGAAAGAGAAGAACCCAGGAAACAAGAUCCUUCAUGGUGAACAUGGGCUGAGUCUCAAGACCAAACAACUGAGCUGUGAGGAUUCUGCCAGAUGCUCCAAGGCUCCAGUCCCUUGUAACACCAUAUCAUCCCUUGGCUCUUUUGCUAACCUUUGGGUUGCAUCACCAGUUUCUAUUUAGAUUUUCAGCUCUAACAGGAGGGAAAAAAAUCAAGAAUGUUGCCCAGAUUUCAGCUUUAAUUGGGCACAUAGAUUAGAAAAUAGGUACAGAUUUGAAAGAGAUGGGUCAGUAAUUUAUUUUUGGACAUGCUCUUCUCGAUACAUUCAAAUGCAAACAUCUAAGAGGUCUAGAAUUCACAGCAGAUUCUAAGUUACAAAUCUCUAGAUUAUUAGUGAUGGUGCUUAUAGUCAUAGAUACGGAUAGAUUAUCCAGGGGAAAAUGUAGAGAGAUAAAAGAAAGGGGAUUUGGACAGAAUCUUAAAGAAUGUGAAGUUGGCUGGUGAAGAAAGAACCUGCAAAAGAUGUUAGCAAAGAGCUGAGAAUUUCCUGGAUUGAGUUUAGUGAAACCAGUAGAAUAUAUAGAAUAUCUCUACCAUGUAUCUCUCCUAUUUUAUAAAUUACAUUGCCAAAUAAAACAUCAACCCAAAACCGGUAAAAUUAGCUGUGGGCACUGAGCAAUAGGAGAAAAAAAAAGACAAGAAUCUUUGCAAAUGAUUAAUUCCAUCUUAAGUAAAAUACUUGGCAGUCUUGGUUUAGAUGCCCAUUUUGAUUUUGAGUUACUUGCUCUGUGAUUGUGGCAGGACUGCAGCCUGUAUCUGGGUAGGCUUGGGGUUGAAAAGCCCAACCUAGUCUAGCAGGUCAGUGCAGCUGAAAUCCAGUCCAUUCUCCUGUAGGCAAACUGUGAACCCUGGUUCAGAGCUAUUUCUGCUAGAGGAAAGGAGGCUUUUUGUAAACCUCUACCUUUGUGGAAAAAAAGCUUCUCCAAUACAUACAGAAGUACUUGUGCAUUAGCAGUGGCUUUGGGACAGGAGAGUAUAGGGCUGUGCUACCCACCUCAAUUUUAGGCUAAACCACCUAUGAUGUCAAGUCUUAGGCAAAAUCUAGGCCACAUUGCUGAAAUUUUGAGAGUUGCUUUUCUCAAGAUACAAUCCCUUCACUAUCAGUAUCAGAAUCACCCAAGAAGGCACUUUCUAGGAUCCCACACUGAAACUCAAGAAUUCACAUCUGUGGGAAUAGGAUACAGCACUUCAGGCUUUCGGAGGCAUAUCAAGGGCAUUGUUAUGCACAACAGAGAACAAACAACUGCCAGAGGAAUACCUGCAAUACAGACCUAAUUUGGGAAACAUCUGCUUGACUCUGGUCUUGACUUGACGAUCUUAUUUCUGAGGACUGAAAAAAAAUCACACAUCACAUUGAUAUUGGACCUUUAGUGAGGGUGGAGGUGGAUACAAACCUGUAACUUAAAUCACUCCUUUAUGCUCCUCUUACCCUGUAAAAUUCUCCUGAAAGUAUCCAGAGAAUGGCUAUGAAGAUGCACUGAUUACACCCAUACACAGGUGAAUGUAAUGUAUGAUAUUUAAGCACAUUUUCUAGUAAAAUAUUCAAAAGACUAUUCAUCUUUGAAUGAUCCCACUCUUAAUGCUUUCCUCCUGGCCACUUCCACCCCCUACCAUCCUGUACUUUGUCAUGAAAGUCGUCAUCUUAGAACAGCCGGACGGACCAACCACACCCCUGCUGCUCUUCUCCAUUCCACCUAUGGCAUCCUGUGAUCUCUAGGGUCCCGAAUCCAGUCUCCCUUCAUUUUCCACUUGUGUGUUUACUUUCAUUUUUUUAUUUAUUCCAUCGAAGGUAUUCAACACUAGAGUAUAAACCUCUUCUCCCUUGUCAACUGAAGAUCCAGUGCCCAUCUUGGCAUGGGCAAUCAAUGCAUAUUUGCUGGAUGAAGACACUGAAAAAAAAAAGGACCUCAGGGGGAAGAAUUUAGGGUUGGGGAAUUUACCUGUCCCCUUUUAACUGUGCUUGUGAAUUGCUGAUCCUUAAUUAGAGAUAUGCCAUAAAGUAAGUUUGUUUCAAUGAAAGUCUUGGGCAUCUUUCAGAAAUCACUUCUCUGUCAAGUGUUUCCAGUUGAAGAAUUCAGAAACUAGAGCCAUAGAAAUUGCUGUGAUGAGUGCCUUUCCCAAUACUUUAUUAAUUUGUAAUGAGAACACAUGAAAGCAACCCUGAUGUUUGCUCAGUUUCUCUAAACUCCUCAAGCGUACUCCUCCUGCCUUCCUAAAAAAGAUGCAUGUCUGGAGGGAGGUGAAACAGCCAUUAAUCCUGGAAGGUAUUUGUCCUCCUUUCUUUUGACAUUUUAUUGCCCUUUAGCUCAUUUGUGAAAGAUAUCAAAGCUGAAGCAGACUAGGGAAUAAAAGGCCUUUUCAUUAAAAUGGCCAAUCUGCAUAGAUCUCUUUGUUCUUCCCUGUGGAAAGACUUUUGAUCAGUACAUGAGGAGAGACUUUAUGAGAAAAGAAAGUUAGGACAAUUUUAUGUCAAUAGAUAGAAUAUCAGAGCAAAAUACACAGAUUCUACUUAGGAAGAUAAAAUUAUUUUCAAGCCGUAAUUAUGAAGUUAUUCCUAGCUGAAAGUAGAGCAAUGAAAAAAGGACUAUGUUUACUAGCAGUGUGGUUGCUUACUUUAGAACAUAGGUUAAGACAAAGACAGAGAUUCUCAAGGGGCAUCCUAUUGCUGUCUGGAGGGAAAUGCAUCACUUACAGGGCCUUAGCCUCAGUUAGAGUACUUUGGCCAUUAUUUGUUUUUAACUUCCACUCUGUAGGGUAGGGGAAAAAAUAAAUGCUCUUUUUCCCCCAUCAGCUUUUUGAUCUCUGCUUUUAGCAAUGCUCCUUUCUGAUAGGGAACUUGGUAAAUUGUACACGUAAAAGACCUGUGUUUAUGAAACAUGGAACAGGGUUUGAGAUAAUUGAGUGUUUUUUAAACAUAAGACAUUUGUGAUAAUAAUCUGCUAAUUAUUAAGUAUUUUUGUUUAUAUUGGGAUGUAUUUCUAUGGAUUUUGAAUUGAAUUUCUUGUAGCAUUCUUUGAUUAAUUCAAAUAGGUAAAAUUACAAAUGUACAAAAAUAUGAAAAAGGGAACAAAAUCAUGACUUGCAGUGGCUUGAACCAGGAAUGAAAAUGUUAAUAUUUUAGCAAAUUUCCUUGUACUGCUGUACAGAGAUGUGUAGUACAAUUGGACAUAUAUAUGUAUAUUCAUUUAUAUAUUAAGCCCAAUUGUCUGACUACUUCUAGCACACGAAUAUAAAUGAAGUUACUUUCAUAUCCUCAAUAAAUAACAAUCAGCACCUAGUAUGUGCAGAGCACUCUUAGUCACAAGGAAUUUAACAAUAAAACAAAACCAAACCCAAAUCUCUGCCUUCUGAGAGUUCAUUCGUGGAUUCAACCAACUGGGAAUAUAAAAUAUUUAGAAAAAAAUCCAGAAAGUUCUAAAAAUCAAAAUUUGAAUUCGCCGCUUCCUGGCAAUAACUUACAUAGCAUUUACAUUGUACUAGGCAUUAUAUGUCAUCUAGAGAUGAUUUAAAGUACACAGGAGGAUAUGCAUAGGUUAUAUGCUAAUACCAUGCAUUUCAUACAAAGGACUUGAGUAUCAAAAGAUAUUGAGUCCUGAACCCAAUCCCCUGUGGAUGGCUACUAUACUUCUUCAGUUCCAGUUUCUUCUUUACACUCCUUUGAGUGCAGAUUUUGAACUUCGGAUCUGGGCCCAUUCUGGCUUCCCAGAGCCAGACCCUGCA